rnacentral:lncRNA from 1 species
CUAAAAUUUGACAUUCAGUAACACACAUUUCCAGCAGAGACUUCCAUUUUGUCUGAAUUUGUGAAAGAAGUGAACCUUAAUGAGUGGGGAAACAGCCCUAAAUAUUUCUUCUGUUUUUUUCUUUUCUUUUCUUUUUUAGCUUUCAUGUAACUCCAAUGUGUUAACUUUGCCUGAAUGUAUUAAACAAAUUGUCUGGAUGAGGUCAGUACCCAGAUCACUAAGAAAGACUGUGGAAUUCCACUCAGUACCCUACAGUGGCUUCAAGAUGUCUCAUGAUAAGCAGGAUGUGAUUCACCAGAUACUGCACUGUGGGAAGAUGAGAGAAGGGGUACUGGGUCAUAGAAGAAGGCAUACAGGCUUGGCAGCCAGGGCACUGAGUGCUGACCCAGCUGUGCUGGGAAUAAUCCAUGAGGAAGAACAAAGGCCUCCGUGGAAGGAGCUGAUGUCUUGGGGAGGUCUGGUGGAAAGCAAUCUCAUCUAG